rnacentral:rRNA from 1 species
UACGGGGGGGCAAGCGUUGUUCGGAAUUACUGGGCGUAAAGGGCUCGUAGGCGGCCAACUAAGUCGGAUGUGAAAUCCCCAGGCUCAACUUGGGAACUGCAUCCGAUACUGGAUGGCUUGAAUUCGGGAGAGGGAUGCAGAAUUCCAGGUGUAGCGGUGAAAUGCGUAGAUAUCUGGAGGAAUACCGGUGGCGAAGGCGGCAUCCUGGACCGACAUUGACGCUGAGGAGCGAAAGCUAGGGGAGCAACAGGG